UGGGGAAUAUUGCACAAUGGGCGCAAGCCUGAUGCAGCCAUGCCGCGUGUAUGAAGAAGGCCUUCGGGUUGUAAAGUACUUUCAGCGAGGAGGAAGGGGAUGUGGUUAAUAACCGCAUUCAUUGACGUUACUCGCAGAAGAAGCACCGGCUAACUCCGUGCCAGCAGCCGCGGUAAUACGGAGGGUGCAAGCGUUAAUCGGAAUUACUGGGCGUAAAGCGCACGCAGGCGGUCUGUCAAGUCGGAUGUGAAAUCCCCGGGCUCAACCUGGGAACUGCAUCCGAAACUGGCAGGCUAGAGUCUUGUAGAGGGGGGUAGAAUUCCAGGUGUAGCGGUGAAAUGCGUAGAGAUCUGGAGGAAUACCGGUGGCGAAGGCGGCCCCCUGGACAAAGACUGACGCUCAGGUGCGAAAGCGUGGGGGAGCAAACA
rnacentral:rRNA from 1 species